AAAGCUGUGUAUGUGUAUGAAAGACAGCAGUCGGCAGCUGGACUUGUCAAGAGAUAUCAGAUACAUGGUAGUGUUGAAAUCUGAACACACUCGGAAUGCAAUGGCAGACAUCUUGGAUUCCAAGCAUGCAUCCACGAGUACAGCGGGUCUAGACCUGGACAUGUCAUCCCUCAAAUGCUCAGAUAUUGUGAUGACGGAGAUGAAAACAAAUCCCAGACAGAGAAGUCCGAUUCCUCUGGCUCCAGUGAUGGCAAUGGGUCAUAGCCCUAGAACAGACUGCAAAGUAAAACAUACAUCUCACUACCCUGAGAAACCCAGUGUCUUUCAAAGUGAAUCAAGUCGAUUCACUUCAUAAAUUAUAUUUUCACUACAGUGACAUAGAAGUUGUUUUCUAUUAGAAUGUAGCAUUGAAUUUCAUCGGUUUUGCUAUGAUUUGAAUGUUUCGGUAUGUGUUAUUUUGGAACAGUGAUAUAAAUAUUGUCACUGAAAUUUUAGCAUUGAUUUUUUGAUAUGCACUAUCUAAUACCAAACAAUGUCAGUCAAUGUUAAGUAUUUGCCCAUCGGCUUGCCAGGAAAGAGAAUUGUAUCAAUGGCUGCAUUUUUUUUUCAUACGGUUUGAAUUUAGAUUUAUCCCAUAUGCUGCUUUUGUAAAUGAUUAUCUUGUUCAAUUCUGUUUUAUUAUUCUCAAUAUUAAAAGUUUUUUUUUUGUUUAUUUAUUAAUUAACAACAUGUUAUUUUCUGUUGUGAGAAAUGUGAGUCAAUAUUGUCCUUUUUAACCAUUGUCUCUGUCAUACCAAUUUUAUGGGUUUUUUUAGAUAUUUUUUUUUUUGGUAUGAAUUAAUUAACUUAACAGUAAACUUACAUAAUUACACGUGUCCACUGUUUCUAGUUUUACCUUGUAUAAAUGUAAUUUAUGUUGAUGACUUUAGAGUCAUUGAAAAAGGCAAAAACAACAUUUGUUGAAGUAGCUCCUAACCUAAGUCCUUCAAUCAAAUUCAAAUUACAAGUACAUGUAUGCCAAAUGAGAUAAGAUAAAUGUGCCAUUUUGUUCAAACUUAUUUGAAUUCAAGAUUUAUUUGUUUAUUUAAGAUACCUAACCAUUUUUUAAGAAAUCCAUUUUUGAACUUUGACAAGAAUCUCAAUCCAUCUUGUGUCAUGGAAGGAAAGAAAAAAGAAAAAAAUGUCUCUGAAAGAGUUAAAAGACGUUUAUGUUCAUAAUGAAAUAAUUGCACUCUGGAAAUGAUAGUUUGAAAGGGAAAAGAAUUUGAGUUUAAAUGUUAUUGUGUACAUACAUUUCUAUCAGCAGAGGAUAUUUCUCUCACAGGAAGCCAUGUUUUUGUUUUUUUCCAUGUUCAUGAUUUCAUAUUCCUCCACUGUAUAUACAUUUCGAAUUUAAAGAUACAUUAUGGCAUGGCUUCCUGCAGGUUUGAUAAUCUUUUCUUUUGUCUUUUUUUGUCAAUAUUGUAGUGAAUUUAAACUACAUUUACAUGUACUUUGAUUUGUUGAAAUAUGCCCUUUUUACAAAUUAAAAUUGUGAG
rnacentral:misc_RNA from 1 species